UAUUUGAAUCUACAAGAAAAAAUCAUAUGAUUAUACUUGAAUUUUUUGAAAAGAAGAGGUUUUGUCAAAAGGUCCUAAAAAAAAUAGGAGCUAUUGCAGUAAAAAUGGGCAGGAUAUUAAUAAUAAAAAUGAAGAAUAAACAUUAACUCUGUUUGCCAUGAAGGAGUCAAUUAAAUUUAAUGUGUUUGCUAUGAGGAAAAUGCUUCUCACACCUCUUCUUGAGAAUAAAACGAUUUUGGGACUAGAUCCAGGAUUUCAAAAGGGCUGUAAUUGGAAUGGAUGGCGUGGUUCUAGGAACAGAAAUACUUUAUUUGCACAACCAAAGUGAGACUCUGGUGACCUAUAAUUCUAAUACAACGAGACUCUCUCAAUGAUGUGAUGCACACAAUUGUAAACGAACAAGAAGCCAGCCUCCAUUUAUAGUAGUUUAAAAACCGGCCAAAAAGGAGCUCCCUACAAUAAAACCGAAUCUAAUAUCCGCCGUGUCCAUUGCAUCUAGACUAAGGGAUCAUUUAGCUGAACAUCUUAAAAUCGAGCCCAAGCAUUUGGGCUUUGGAAUGUAUCAACAUGACAUUUCCGAAAGGAAAUAAAAAAAACACUGGAGGAUAUUGUUAGUUAAUGUGUUAGUUUUGUUGGAGUUGAUUUAAAUACGGCUCCAAGUUACUUAGUCGAGAAAUUUUCAGAAACAAGUCCAUCAAAUCACGAUACGAUUUGAUGGGCAUAAAGUGGAUUGAAAAGAAAAAGUUAGAACUAGCCACAGGAUUCGUUAGAUACUUUCCAACCCCUGAUAACAAUUACAAUAAUAUAUAAUUUCGUUUUCUACCUCCUCUCAAUUAUAAUUAAUUACUCACUUUGAUUCUAGCUCCAAUCCCCUGGACUCUACAAUGAUUCAUCCAGAGUCCUACGAUGCUGCAAAUGAGAUAAUAAUUCAACACGGAUUUCCUCUUUUAGACGUAGGAACUCGUAAGCUCAUCAAUCACUUAAAUCCAUCUCUCCCUCAUCUCUUCCCUCCAAGUUAAGUGAGAAACUGGACCAAAACUCAUACGAAAUUAUAUUAGGAGGUUUAAGCUCGGAAAAUUAAAAUCAGAUUGUAGAGAGUCCAAACCCUUAUUCCCAAAAGAUCGAGCUAGGACAGAGGUUAAGUGUUAAAAGUAAUUUCCUUAGACAUAUCAUUAAAAAGAAUGAGUUUGAAUAAUUGAUGAAAUUAAUUAAUUAAUGGGCAUAUGAUGGUGCAAAUAGUUAAUUGUAUAAGUAUGUAGUAUUAUAAAAAAUAAUGAAAUAGUAAGGAAUUAAUAAAGAGUAUAAUUUCUUUAA
rnacentral:lncRNA from 1 species